UUUUGUAGAUGAUAGACUUAACAAAAAAUGAAGAGAAAGAUCCUUACUGUAACAAGAAGAGAAAGUUGAUAGACAUCACUUCAGAUGAUGAAAAUGAUAAUAUGGAAAUAGACAACUAAGCAUUUGAAUAAAAGAUGGAAUGGAAUGGAAGACAAUAUUUAAUGGAAAACAUCAUUAUUUUUGUGAUAAAUUUUGUAAUAAAUUAUGUAAACAUAAUUUUUUUUGUAUUUCUUAUUUAUUGAUGUAGUGGUAUUUUUUUUAGGUAGAGACUUGUAUAAGAAUCGAAAAGAAAUUAAAAAGAUGCAAAUAUUUACAUUCCUUAAUGAAAACUUUUUUUAUAUCUGAAAUCAAAAGACAUACUAAUUUCAGUUAUUGAAACACUGUUUUUUUUUAUACAUUCAGUUCAAAUUGAGUUAAGUAUGAAUGAGGAACUAGAUACUCUCCUAAGUAAAUACUAUAAUGAUGUUGGUGGACCAGCUUCAUAUGCUUCUACCGAAAAACUGUAUCAUAUCGUAAAUGCAGAUGGGAAAAAAGUUGGUAGGCAUCAAAUUAAACGGUGGUUGAAUUCACAAGAUAAUUACAGUUAACAAAAAACACCUCGUCGUUCUUUUAAAAGAAUAAGAGUGUAUACCACGGGGUUGAAUAUUUAUGGGACGCCGAUUUGAUGGAUCUUAAACAAUUUUCACAAGAAAAUGAAAAUUACAAAUACGUGUUAGUUGUUGUUGACUGUUUCUCACGCUACCUUUGGUUACAACCAUUGAAAAAUAAAACGGGAGAUGAAGUCACCUCUGCAUUUAAAAAGAUUUUUAGUGAGGUAAAACCGGAAAAAAAUCGAACAGAUAAGGGACAAGAAUUUCUAGCCAAAAAGACACAGUCGUUAUUUAAAAGGAAUGGUGUCCGCCAUUUUUCGGCUCAAAAUGAACUUCACGCAAAUUAUGCUGAAAGAGUCUUACAAACUAUAAAAAAUAAAAUGUUUCGCUUUUUCUCAAAGAACAGAACACACAGAUAUAUUAACAACUUGCAAAAUUUUGCAAAAAGCUAUAAUGGUACUCCUCAUCGAAGUCUACAAAACAUUGCACCUAAAGACGUUAAUUCAGACAACGAGAGUGAUAUCAAAAAGUUACAAAAAAGAACAAUCAUCAAUUAUACUUGUUUUGUGAUGUAUGCAGUGGAGUGAAUGUUUUUCCCCAUAUACAAUAUUCACUUUUAAGAAGAAUAUUUCCCACAUGGAAUUAUUUAUUUUCGUCUCCAAUUUAUUUACCGGUAAAGAAAAACGAAAUUCAAGUCUUAGAAUUUCUUAUAAAAGAUGAACACGGAGAAAACGCUUCAUUUUUGAAAAAUAAUUUGUCUUUUACACUAAAAUUUAUACCAAGCGUAUUUUAGCGUAGAUAUGUCGAACAUUGAUAAAAUGUACAUUCCUAAUGUUGAUCUAUGGUCUAGAUAUUAUCAGAAUGUAAUUUCUGGUCAAUCGAACGCUUACGUAGCUCAUAUGAAAAAUGGACAUAAUAAAGGAUCACAAUCGGUAUCGUUUAUGAUUCCAAUUUCGAAUAAAUCUUAUCCAAUUCGUGUUGAAAAAGAAAACAACUUUGAUGUACGGUUAGUGUCGCCUAGUGAACAAAUUGUUAAUCAAGCAAAAGAAGAGAUUAAAAAUGACGAUGAGAGUAUAAAUAAAAAGAAAAGAAAGCGAAAAAAAAUCAUCAUUCGCCACAAAGCAGAGGAGGUGAAAAGAAGACGAAAAAAUCGAAAAAAGAUAAAACUGUUAAAAAACAUAAAAGGGAUAUAUUUUCAACAUAAUGUCUUUGUUAACUUAAGAGAAUUUUAUUGAAGCACAACCGCCAGAGUUACAGAUUUUUAAGAUACCUCCAUAUCAAGUAGGUUUUGAAAGUAUAACAUACGAGGAAUGCAGACCUGUUAGUCAAAUAACAGCUUACAAUCCUAUAGAAUUCGAUCUAUGCAAACAAUGGUAUGGAUUAUAUAGAUCUUAAAAGAUCGAAACUAUACGUGAAAUUGAAAGUGAAAAAAGCAAAUGGUGAAGAUUUACAAGAUGGCGAAACGGUAGGACCUGUGACCUAAUUUUACAAUCGCUUUGGUCGCAAUUGGAUGUUUAUAUACAAGGACAAAUGGUAACGUCUAGUAAUACGUAUUACCCGUAUAAAUGUAUGAUGAAAACAUUACUGCAGUAUGGCCAAGACGCAAAGAGCACACAAUUAUCUUCUAGUCUGUACUUAAAAGACAGAUAUGGUCACAUGGAUGAAAUAUCGACUAACACUGGACUGUAUGAACGCAGAAAAUUUAUUUCUAAUUCGAAAACAUUAGAAAUGGAGGGACCAGUUUUUUCUGAUAUCUUUGAGAUGGAUAGAUACCUGCUAAAUAUGUUAUCCCUUAAACUAAAAUUAUACAGCAACGAUCCAAGUUUUUGUUAAAUGUCUGGAGAAAUUGAAACUAACUAUCAUAUUUCUUUGGAAGAUGUCGUGAUAAAGCUUUGCAAGAUCAGACCUAACCCAGCUAUAAUUGUCGCUCAUUCAGAAGCUUUAAAGACAACAAGUGCUAAGUAUCCUUUCACAAAAACCAUGAUGAAAAAUUUAACAAUAAUGCAAGGAAGUACCUCGUUAAUCGUAGAAAAUGUUUUCCAAGAUGUGAGACCGAAAAGUAUUGUGCUUGGAUUGGUUUCUUCAAAUGCUAUGUCUGGAGCAUAUACAAAAACCCCAUUUAACUUUAAGAAUUAUGAUUUAAAACAGGUGACUCUGUUUUGUGACGGAAUACCAGUUGAUGGUAUACCACUCAAACUUGAUUUCAACGAGAAUAGCGGUGCAUCGAACGUUUCUCCUUAUGUAAAAAUGUUUGAAACAGGGGGAAAGUGGAUGUUGGAUACGGGGAAUGAAAUAACAAGGGCUGAAUUCAACAAUGGAUAUACGCUGCUAUGCUUCAACUUAGAACCAUUCUUUUCGGAUACCAAAUAUCUUUCACUACUGAAGCAGGGGAAAAUACGAUUGGAAUGUCAGUUCGGUACUCCAUUACCAGAAACAGCUACCUUACUGAUUUUAGCUGAAAACUCUGGAUACUUUGAAAUAACCGAGAAUCGACAAAUAAAGAUUGAACACUAACAUUUCCAUGUGAAUUGGACUUAUCAUGACUAUAACUGUUUGUUUAAUGUGUACAUAUGUCUUUUUUUUUAUAUUGUGUGUUUUACUGAUAAAUAUAUUCAAAUGAACGAAAAUAAACGACUGUAUUCAUUUAUAUAUUUUGUUUUAUUUGAAUCAGAUAGGAUGCGAAAAAAAAAAAAAAAAAAAAAAAACAUAGAUGUAAAAUACAUUACAAGAAAAAAGUAAUUAAAUUACCAACAAACAAAUUUUGGCAUACACAAAAUAAUAAACUGAAUUAAUACUAUCGAAUACAAUAUACAAUAAAUUAUAAUAAAAAUAAGAUGCAUCUACAAUCUCCCUCACUAUAUGUAAAAGUCGUAUUUAAAUCACCACAAAUUUUGAUAUAAAAAAAAAAAUCCCACUUCUUUGCUCUUGUUAUUAAUACACAUUUGACUAAAAGAAAACAAAAACAAACAAAACCAAAAAAAAAUCAAUGAAUAUUUGAACAUUUAAUAAACUACAUAUAUACAAAAAACCCUCAAAUGAACAAAUAAUAAUCUCCCUCACUAUAUGUUAAAAUCGUAUUUAAAUCACCACAAAUUUUGAUAUACAAAAAAAAAUGAACAAAAAUAAUAAUCAUAUACGAAAUAGUUAUAAGACUUGAAAUUUCCUUAAACGUUUUUACAUGAUAAAAAAUGUCAUUUGUUUAUAUGUUGUCUUCAUGUCCAAAGGCUCUCGUUGUCACACCAUCAUUUAAAAUCCAUCUUUUAUCAUCAAAAGGAACUAAUGAUUUUUUAUUAAUAGUUUUAGUAUAUAAAACAUGGCUUUCGCUUCUUAUUAUAUUUAUUUCAGAACGUGUAACAGUUUGAUUGAAAAGGCAAUUUUUGUACAUUUCAUGUUUAAGUUUCCUGGAUGCAGAUUUUGUUACUCCUUUUGCAGGAUGUUUUUCUUCGCCUUCAAAAGAAAAUGAAUACAUCUUCGAUCUCAGUCCAACAAAUUCACUUAUUGGAAUUCCACUUGUUUCAUCCUUGAAUUUGCCUAUUACUUUUUUAUUUUCGGUGUCAUGUAAAAAAAUGUUCUGGAGGAUAAUCACUCGUAUCGUACAUAUAUUGAUAUUGAUGCAUAUCUUCAUACACAUCUUCCGUUUCAACGUGAUAUAAAAAGCUAUCAGUAUCGGAAAAACACACACGAAUUUUAUCACCAUAAAGAGAUUUCAUAUGGUUAUAAUGGAAAUCAUACAUCAAUAACUUGGAUAUAACUUGGAUAAGUCUAAAAUGCAGAAACCUACAUAUAUUGGUUGUUUCAUUAAAACAUUCACACGAUUUUUCUCCACUGCUACCAAAUUGUCGUUAAAUAUUUUGCAAGAUGCGUAGGAUGGUUUAGCUGUUUCUUUAUUUAGUUUCUCUUCCGUGUGACAAAGUUUCACAUCUUUAUGGUUGCGUGUAUUGAGGAGAGUCCGAC